AGGAGGAACAACCCCAGUGGCGGUGGCAGCUCUAGAGCCCUGGAUUCAGCCCCCGCAGUAACUACGGAGCUCUCCGUCUGCAGGGCCUGGAGGCUCCGGGGCGGG
rnacentral:pre_miRNA from 1 species